CGGCGAGUGAAGCAGCAAUAGCUCAAAUUUGAAAUCUGGCGUCUUCGGCGUCCGAGUUGUAAUUUGUAGAGGAUGCUUCUGGGCAGCCACCGACCUAAGUUCCUUGGAACAGGACGUCAUAGAGGGUGAGAAUCCCGUAUGCGGUCGGAAAGGCACCCUACACGUAGCUCCUUCGACGAGUCGAGUUGUUUGGGAAUGCAGCUCUAAAUGGGAGGUAAAUUUCUUCUAAAGCUAAAUAUUGGCCAGAGACCGAUAGCGCACAAGUAGAGUGAUCGAAAGAUGAAAAGCACUUUGGAAAGAGAGUUAAAAAGCACGUGAAAUUGUUGAAAGGGAAGGGAUUGCAACCAGACUUGCUCGCGGUGUUCCGCCGGUCUUCUGACCGGUCUACUCGCCGCGUUGCAGGCCAGCAUCGUCUGGUGCCGCUGGAUAAGACUUGAGGAAUGUAGCUCCCUCGGGAGUGUUAUAGCCUCUUGUGAUGCAGCGAGCGCCGGGCGAGGUCCGCGCUUCGGCUAGGAUGCUGGCGUAAUGGUUGUAAUCCGCCCGUCUUGAAACACGGACCAAGGAGUCUAACAUCUAUGCGAGUGUUCGGGUGUCAAACCCCUACGCGUAAUGAAAGUGAACGGAGGUGAGAACCGCAAGGUGCAUCAUCGACCGAUCCUGAUGUCUUCGGAUGGAUUUGAGUAUGAGCAUAGCUGUUGGGACCCGAAAGAUGGUGAACUAUG
rnacentral:rRNA from 1 species